rnacentral:rRNA from 1 species
CGAAAGUUCCCUUCGGGGAACAAGUAGAGUGGCGAAAGGGCGAGUAAUGCAUGGGUAACGUACCUUUAGCAUGGGGAUAGCCGUGGGAAACUGCGGGUAAUACCCAAUAAUACCAUCGUUUCAUAAGGUAUGAUGGUCAAAGGUGGGGAUCUUCGGACCUACCGGCUUUAGAGCGGCCCAUGUCCUAUCAGCUAGUUGGCGGGGUAACGGCCCACCAAGGCAACGACGGGUACCGGGACUGAGAGGUUGGCCCGGCGCAUUGGGACUGAGACACUGCCCAGACUCCUACGGGAGGCUGCAGCAACGAAUAUUCCGCAAUGGACGAAAGUCUGACGGAGCGACGCCGCGUGCGGGAAUAAGCCCUUCGGGGUGUAAACCGCUGUCAGGGAUCACCAAGCAAUGGGGCCUAAUACGCCCCGGCGUUGAGGAAUCCCAAAGGAAGCCACGGCUAACUUCGUGCCAGCAGCCGCGGUAAUACGAAGGUGGCAAGCGUUGUUCGGAAUCACUGGGCUUAAAGAGCACGUAGGCGGCCUGUCAAGCGUCUUGUGAAAUCCCUCGGCUCAACCGAGGAAUGGCUGGGCGAACUGGCAGGCUUGAGGCAGGUAGGGGCACACGGAACUCUUGGUGGAGCGGUGGAAUGCGUAGAUAUCAAGAGGAACGCCGGUGGCGAAGGCGGUGUGCUGGGCCUGUCCUGACGCUGAGGUGCGAAAGCCAGGGGAGCGAACGGGAUUAGAUACCCCGGUAGUCCUGGCCCUAAACGAUGUCCACUAGGUCGAAGGUUCUCUGACGGAGUUUCGGCCG